rnacentral:rRNA from 1 species
UUCUGGCUCAGGAUGAACGCUGGCGGCGUGCCUAACACAUGCAAGUCGAGCGGAGUUAUAUUUUCGGAUUAACGUUAGCGGCGGGAUGGGUGAGUAACGCGUGGAUAACCCUGCCCUGCGUCAGGGGGAUAACAGCUGGAAACGGCUGUUAAUACCGCAUAUGCACACGGUGCCGCAUGGCACAGGGUGGAAAGAUUUUAUCGGAGCAGGAUGGAUCCGCGUCGGAUUAACUUGUUGGCGGGGUAACGGCCCACCAAGGUGAUGAUCCGUAGCCGACCUGAGAGGGUGACCGGCCACAUUGGGACUGAGACACGGCCCAAACUCCUACGGGAGGCAGCAGUGGGGGAUAUUGCACAAUGGGCGCAAAGCCUGAUGCAGCGACGCCGCGUGAAGGAAGACGUAUUUCGGUAUGUAAACUUCUAUCAGCGGGGAAGAAAAUGACGGUACCCGACUAAGAAGCCCCGGCUAACUACGUGCCAGCCGCCGC